rnacentral:rRNA from 1 species
GACGAACCCUUGCGGCGUGCUUAACACAUGCAAGUCGAACGGAAAGGCCCUGCUUUUGUGGGGUGCUCGAGUGGCGAACGGGUGAGUAACACGUGAGUAACCUGCCCUUGACUUUGGGAUAACUUCAGGAAACUGGGGCUAAUACCGGAUAGGAGCUCCUGCUGCAUGGUGGGGGUUGGAAAGUUUCGGCGGUUGGGGAUGGACUCGCGGCUUAUCAGCUUGUUGGUGGGGUAGUGGCUUACCAAGGCUUUGACGGGUAGCCGGCCUGAGAGGGUGACCGGCCACAUUGGGACUGAGAUACGGCCCAGACUCCUACGGGAGGCAGCAGUGGGGAAUGUUGCACAAUGGGCGGAAGCCUGAUGCAGCAACGCCGCGUGCGGGAUGACGGCCUUCGGGUUGUAAACCGCUUUCGCCCGUGACGAAGCGUGAGUGACGGUAAUGGGUAAAGAAGCACCGGCUAACUACGUGCCAGCAGCCGCGGUGAUACGUAGGGUGCGAGCGUUGUCCGGAUUUAUUGGGCGUAAAGGGCUCGUAGGUGGUUGAUCGCGUCGGAAGUGUAAUCUUGGGGCUUAACCCUGAGCGUGCUUUCGAUACGGGUUGACUUGAGGAAGGUAGGGGAGAAUGGAAUUCCUGGUGGAGCGGUGGAAUGCGCAGAUAUCAGGAGGAACACCAGUGGCGAAGGCGGUUCUCUGGGCCUUUCCUGACGCUGAGGAGCGAAAGCGUGGGGAGCGAACAGGCUUAGAUACCCUGGUAGUCCACGCUGUAAACGGUGGGUACUAGGUGUGGGGUCCAUUCCACGGGUUCCGUGCCGUAGCUAACGCUUUAAGUACCCCGCCUGGGGAGUACGGCCGCAAGGCUAAAACUCAAAGGAAUUGACGGGGCCCCGCACAAGCGGCGGAGCAUGCGGAUUAAUUCGAUGCAACGCGUAGAACCUUACCUGGGUUUGACAUGGAUCGGGAGUGCUCAGAGAUGGGUGUGCCUCUUUUGGGGUCGGUUCACAGGUGGUGCAUGGCUGUCGUCAGCUCGUGUCGUGAGAUGUUGGGUUAAGUCCCGCAACGAGCGCAACCCUUGUUCACUGUUGCCAGCACGUUAUGGUGGGGACUCAGUGGAGACCGCCGGGGUCAACUCGGAGGAAGGUGGGGAUGACGUCAAGUCAUCAUGCCCCUUAUGUCCAGGGCUUCACGCAUGCUACAAUGGCUGGUACAGAGAGUGGCGAGCCUGUGAGGGUGAGCGAAUCUCGGAAAGCCGGUCUCAGUUCGGAUUGGGGUCUGCAACUCGACCUCAUGAAGUCGGAGUCGCUAGUAAUCGCAAAUCAGCAACGCUGCGGUGAAUACGUUCCCGGG